rnacentral:rRNA from 1 species
AAAGGUCUCCGUUGGUGAACCAGCGGARGGAUCAUUACCGAGUUUACAACUCCCAAACCCCUGUGAACAUACCACUUGUUGCCUCGGCGGAUCAGCCCGCUCCCGGUAAAACGGGACGGCCCGCCAGAGGACCCCUAAACUCUGUUUCCAUAUGUAACUUCUGAGUAAAACCAUAAAUAAAUCAAAACUUUCAACAACGGAUCUCUUGGUUCUGGCAUCGAUGAAGAACGCAGCAAAAUGCGAUAAGUAAUGUGAAUUGCAGAAUUCAGUGAAUCAUCGAAUCUUUGAACGCACAUUGCGCCCGCCAGUAUUCUGGCGGGCAUGCCUGUUCGAGCGUCAUUUCAACCCUCAAGCACAGCUUGGUGUUGGGACUCGCGUUAAUUCGCGUUCCUCAAAUUGAUUGGCGGUCACGUCGAGCUUCCAUAGCGUAGUAGUAAAACCCUCGUUACUGGUAAUCGUCGCGGCCACGCCGUUAAACCCCAACUUCUGAAUGUUGACCUCGGAUCAGGUAGGAAUACCCGCUGAACUUAAGCA